ensembl:piRNA 21ur-9284 ncRNA
UGUUGAGCAGGUUGGUGUUUU